rnacentral:lncRNA from 1 species
GGUGACGAGGAGCCCCUCUUGCUCAGCCCCUUUCCUUUGCUUUUGCCUUUCAGUGGGCUGCCCCUGCGGAGAAGAUGUUGGGGCCUUUGUGCUGAGAGUGGGCUGCCCCUGUGGAGAAGAAGCUGGGGCCUUUGUGGUGAGAGCCCUGAGACACUGCCCAAGAAGGAGGUCCUGGGCUUGCUGUCACAGGGGCUGCGGUCUGCCAGCUGCUGGCCCGCCCCUCUUCUCUGAUCUUCUCCAGACCUGCUGUGCACAGUGAGCUCUGGCAUCCUGUCCUGGUAAGCCAUGGCAGCUGCCAGCAGAGCCAUGUCUCUCCCAGGAUGUGUUCAGUCUGGGUUGAUGAUGACACUGCAAUGGGACUAAAGAGAGGUGAUGUCUUAAAAAACAGGCUCAAUAGGAUUAUGCUGAGGCCCAGCCUAAGGGAGGGUGGCACCAGAGGAGAUUGGCAGCCGGCCAUCCUGUCCAGGACAGUCGAACUGUGGCUGGGAGCCCACUAAGUGCCCUGCAGGGGAGAUGCUGUGGACCCACAGUUUCAGUGUGUUGCUCCUGCAGAGAAGAAGUUGGUGCCAUUGUGCUGAGAGGCAAAUGGACUGCGGGCCUCCCACACACAUGAUGGGUUCCCUGGGGUGCUGUGGACAUAAGUGUCCUUGUGUCACAGGGGUGUAGGUCAGGACACCCGGGCAUCCCAGGGUAUCGGGCUCAACUGUGCCCAAGAGCACCUCGAUGGUCCUUGGUUUGGGUAGUGGAUCUUCACUGUGCAACUGCUGUGGGGAGACCCUUGCAGGAAGCCGAUGCCCACCUCCUUCCCACCUUCCCGCCCUGCUGCUUUGCAGGGUGAGAGAGAGGAGAGAGAGAGAGAGAGAGAGAGAGAGAGAGAGAGAGAGAGAGAGACUCUGGCACAGAUGGAGCCAGUUAGCAGGCCUCCAGGACUUCUGGCUGACAGAGGGACUUCUUGAGCUCAACUCAGCCAGUGUGGGGGCAUCAAAGGCCAGGGACCUGGGGCUGACAGACUGGCUCUUUGGUCUCCAGGAAAAUGCUACCUCUUGAGUUUUCAGAGGUGCCAGAGCCCAUGAGUCUGUGCAUGUUCAGUGGGGCACUCUCUGUUGAGCACUUGCCGCCAGGUAGCAGCCAGCCUUUGACCCCAUGUCACAGUCCCCUCUGGGAUGUUUUGCACUUUCAGGCAGAGUGUGGGUUUCCCUCGGUGUGCCCGUCAGCCAGAUUGUCUUGUUUGUUGGUUCCUUCCUGCACAUACUUGCCUUUCCCUUUGCCCUCAGGCUUUCCACAGAGGCGCAGAAUCCCCAGUUAUUCAUCAUCGUGGUCCACUCUCUUGGAGCCCACUGUUUAGCUCUUUCGUCUAGGAUUUCCCUUUUUCUGGAAUGUUACAGAGCUCCUUUAUGCUCUUUUAUUUUUUUCCUUCUAGUGG